CCAGGCAGUGGCAGCAGAUGGAGCCGUAAUCCACAAAGCUCCCGUUUCCAUGUAAACAUCUCUACGGAUGCAGGCUGAAGGAGAGAUGGGUGGAGGACACAGGCAUUGAUACGUCCCUAUGGCUGCUGGAAAUACCUCGCCUGCGUACACUGGAAACGAAACCAACUGAAACGCCUGCAGUCGAGUGCCACUGAGCACAGCGUCGCCCCGAGGAAGAGUCCCCCCCCCCACCGCCCAGCGAGAUCUUACAGCUACCGGAUCAGCUCCGACUGGGUCUGGACUGAGCCCAUCUGUCGGGUUGAAAAGCUCCUCCCUGCCAUUGGUUGGCACCGGCUGGCGUGCGCACGUUCCUAGGUCUUUCCUUUUUCCCUCCCUCCUGCUCCCCAGCCGUGGGUUUGCUGCCUGGAGCCCCCUAGCACAACCCAGUACUGACAAAGGAAGAGCGCAGAACCCAGACAGACCCAGGAAUACCU